AGAGUUGAGAGAAGGAGGAGCUAGAAAAAAGGGGUUUUAGAGAAAGAGAAGAAGAUGAACGAAGAGGAUGAAGAACAAGAGGAGAGGAGAGCUAGAGUUUGAAGAUAACCAUCAAAUUCUCCAUUUUUCAUGAGGUGUUGUGUUUUGGUGUUCGUGUUCCGGUGUAGCCUCGCUCUGAUUUGGACACAUAGGGAGGGUGUAUAAUAUUUCAAUUUUAUUUAUAUGGUCUAGGUUAAGACAUAAAAAUGUAUAAGUCACUCGUAAAAGAUUUUCAUCUAAUGCACGUGUAUACUAAUUAAAUUUAUAGUAAUGUAAUUUGGGAAUAGUAAUACCCUAAUUCCUAAUAUUCCUCUAUCUCCAUCCUUAAUUAUUAACUAAUAAAGUUUUAUUUUUA